CGGGGGGAGCAAGCGUUGUUCGGAUUUACUGGGCGUAAAGGGCGCGUAGGCGGCCACCGCAAGUCGACUGUGAAAUCUCCGGGCUUAACCCGGAAAGGUCAGCCGAUACUGCGGGGCUAGAGUGCAGAAGGGGCAACUGGAAUUCUCGGUGUAGCGGUGAAAUGCGUAGAUAUCGAGAGGAACACCUGCGGCGAAGGCGGGUUGCUGGGCUGACACUGACGCUGAUGCGCGAAAGCUAGGGGAGCGAACGGGAUUAGAUACCCCGGUAGUCCUAGCCUUAAACGAUGAAUGCUUGGUGUCUGGGGUUUUAUAAUCCCCGGGUGCCGUCGCUAACGCUUUAAGCAUUCCGCCUGGGGAGUACGGUCGCAAGACUG
rnacentral:rRNA from 1 species